GGUGUCGUGGUGUAGUUGGUUAUCACGUCAGUCUAACACACUGAGGUCCUCCGGUUCGAGUCCGGGCGACGCCA
rnacentral:tRNA from 1 species